AAAGCUGCAGGAUGAAGUUGUACAUCUACCUGCCAAUACUCACUGCUCUCUCCUUGUCACUAACAGCUCUCAUCAUUGUCACAAGAACUAAAAGGGAAGAACAUCACUCACACAGAUUCAUUGUAUUUCUGCAACUAAAGGGAAAGGCAAUGGAAACCUUUUAGCUUUUGUGUGUACAGAUAAUAAAGGACAUCAAGAGUGGUAUGUGGUAUAGUGGUAUUGCUGUUCUGCAUGGAAUGGAGCAGGAUAUUACUAAUAUAAGUACUUAUCUGUACUCAGAAUAACCAUGCAGCUAUGUUUUUAUCAGUCUACAAGUUAGAAAGGAUUGGGCAAUUAUGUUGGGGAUCAGUUCUUCCCUCUGGCUUUCUGUUGGGUUGUGCAGGCCAGUUAUGUUCUUCUGCUCCCAUCUGAGCAAAAUGACUGUAUAGGUUUGAUUGUGUGCACGGGUAUUGUCAUACUAAAACAGAAAAAGGGCCUUCCCCAAUCUGAUGACUACACAGAAUUGUCAGGCAUGCAACUGUUUGAUGUAAAUAUGAUGGUAAAUAUUUCAGCAAUGAUGGCUGUGGCUUCAAGGUCCUCCGGGCCACAUGGCCUUUAAAGCAAUAGUUGGGACUUAAAAUGAAGCUUAACAAUAGAGAACAGGUAACAUUCCAAUAACUUGGUAUCUGACGGGUUAAUCGAACUUGUAGUCAAAAAACAGACAAUGGAGGGAAAGGCAGAACUGUUGAAAUCUGCAAAAACACAAAAAGCACCCAGGAACUUACCCAAAAAGACCCACAUUUAAGCAUUGAAUCCUCAUUCCAGAUGCCUCCUUUAUUUUGGAUUUGGCAUCAUCAUACCCUUGUCAUCUAUGUCAUCAUUCCAGCAACAGUGUAUGUGACAGGGGUCUGCAUACUUUCAAGGAGUAGUAUGUUUGUACAGUACUACACCAAUAAAGGGUAAUAAAAAGUCCAGCAUUGAGGUUCCUAUGUCCCGUAAGUCUCUGUAACUGCAGUUGAAGUUUUUGCCAAAAGCAAAGCUCUUACAUUAUUCUUACAUUAUUAGUUUUUUCCAUGUUUAAAAUCAGUACUGGGCAAUUUUUUUGUCUUUAAAAAAGAUUUCAUUUUCACGUUUCUUAUAUAUUACUGUUUAUUCAUUGUUUAUUUUGCCUUCAUACCUUUCUUAUGUCAAUCCAUCUGAAUGUAAAGUCUAAAGGUUCCAAAUCUUGCUGUCCCUGAAUUCUCUGCAAUCUCAACCCUCUCUCAAAAACCCAAGUGUAUAUUCUUUUUCUCAUGAGGGGCUUUUCUGCCAAAAUUAAAAAGUCAGAUGGGUUUUAGACGUUGAGUUUUGCAUAUUUUUUUU